CUAGAUUAGCAGGCCUUGAUCCUACAACACGUUAGUUAACAACUAAACACCUAAACCAGCGGGCUUUAAUCU
rnacentral:tRNA from 1 species